UCAGCUUGCCAAAGUUGUUAGGAUUACAGGCAUGAGCCACUGUGCCUUGCCAGCACAGUAUUUCUUAAGGGGGUACUCCACUAUUGAAUCUGGUAUUUCCUUCCAAGUCAGCCAUACCCAUUCUGUAAAUUUGGUGACUGGCACUUUCCCACUGGACUAAGCUCAUAGUUAAAUAAGCAGGCAGCUUCCAUCAAACUCAUGCUUGCCAUCCUAAAAGUGAUCCAAAUGAUGAACAAAUUAUUUACAAUAGCUUCUCAUUCUUUGAAAUGUUUAAAAUCUAUUCUAAGGCUUGUCCAUUCCUCUUGCCUUCCAUUGCAUGGGUUAGUAUGUAAACAACACAUGCAUGGCCAGCAAGGCUGAAAACUCAAUUACGGUGACCCCAAUAGAAAUAGCCACACCCAAGUUUUCCCUUGCUUAGGUCAGGCCAGGUACUCAUGUCUGUGCCCACGCAGCAGGGAUUGUAAGACACAUUCUAAUUGCAGAGAUAAUAAAAUGUUCAGAAGUGAGACCCUUAGAAACGGUGGCAUGUGAUGCUCUUCUUUUAUUGCUUCUCCUAGCAUUGUCCCUUUUAUGAUUCUGCUUUAACUCAAACUGUCAGAAAGGGUGUAGCAACAAGCAAUAUGACUGUGGUGCCCAGGAUUCCAAAAAGAAUCCUUCAGUGUUACCAUGCCAACCAGCAUCCAUCCCAAGAGUUGCCUCUGAAUAAGCCACAGUUGGAGGGGCCUCGUUCGAGAAUCUAAGUGGAGUCAAAGUUCUGCUUCACCAAGGCCCACAAAAUGGUAGCAGUAGACUCAUUCCAGUUGUCCAGAGUCCACCCACUUUGAACUUAGAACAAAGAGAACUCUCCAUCCAGAGUUUGGAUAACUCUCCCAUCAAGGUUAACUGACAUUGAGAUCACCAUGUCUUCGCAACAUGAAACAAUGCGCACCAUGCAAAUACUCUUCUUUCUCCCAGAGAAAGCAUGUGAAUGCUUGGGCAACAUUUAGAAAUUGCCGAUGUGGCAUCUCCAGGAGACUUGCUUUUUCACACAUGGCCUGAGUUCCUUCCUUCCCAGCACGCCUGCCUGCCAAAUCUCAUCCCUACCUCUGCCUGAGGCCUCCAGAUGUUAGUAGUGAUGGAUGGAAACAGGACCAGGACUGAAUCCAUACGUGGUCACAGCACCACUGCCCCUGGUUCCUGGAGGCAGCCUGGAGAGGAAGCUUUAUUCCUCAUUAGUGAGAGAGCUGAUGGCUACAUGUUGACAUGAAGGACUCCUUUUGUUGUAUUCAACAUAAAGCCCCUUUCCCCAAACUCUUACUCUGGUUUCUUUAUUUUCCUACUCCCUCUACUACCUCCAACUCUUUUUCUUUUCUUUCUUUCUUUCUUUCUUUUUUUUUUUUUUUUUGCUGGAACUUUAUUGUGGUAUAAUUUACUUAACAAAGUUUACUCAUUUCAAGUGUAUGAUUCUCAGUACAUUUAAAAUUGAGCAACCCAUAUACACCAUGGAAUACUAUGCAGCCAGAAAAAAUGAUGAGUUCAUG
rnacentral:lncRNA from 1 species